rnacentral:rRNA from 1 species
CUGAUCCAGCAAUGCCGCGUGAGUGAAGAAGGCCUUCGGGUUGUAAAGCUCUUUUGUCAGGGAAGAAACGGUAGAGGCUAAUAUCCUUUGCUAAUGACGGUACCUGAAGAAUAAGCACCGGCUAACUACGAGCCAGCAGCCGCGGUAAUACGUAGGGUGCAAGCGUUAAUCGGAAUUACUGGGCGUAAAGCGUGCGCAGGCGGUUGUGCAAGACAGAUGUGAAAUCCCCGGGCUCAACCUGGGAAUUGCAUUUGUGACUGCACAGCUGGAGUGUGUCAGAGGGGGGUAGAAUUCCACGUGUAGCAGUGAAAUGCGUAGAUAUGUGGAGGAAUACCGAUGGCGAAGGCAGCCCCCUGGGAUAACACUGACGCUCAUGCACGAAAGCGUGGGGAGCAAACAGGAUUAGAUACCCUGGUAGUCCACGCCCUAAACGAUGUCUACUAGUUGUCGGGUCUUAAUUGACUUGGUAACGCAGCUAACGCGUGAAGUAGACCGCCUGGGGAGUACGGUCGCAAGAUUAAAACUCAAAGGAAUUGACGG